UGAGGAGUUUCUUCCUUCAGAGAAUUGCAAUGAAUAUGACCAUCCAGUUGAAUCUCAAUCAAGAUCAAUGCAUUCACAAAUAGAAAGAAAUGGCCAAGACAUUAAAACAAGUCUUUGUCAUUUGAGUAAGAUUAUUUGGUAACUAAGCAUCAAGAAAGCCACGAACACUAUGCAUUAACAUAUAAAAUAGUGAACGUUAAGAUUUCCAAUUUGUCAAGUACAAUUACAAAACCUGCAAUUAUAAAACUAAAAAAUAUAUCCAAGAGAAGAUCUUAGGCCACAUUUGAUGACUAUUUUUUGUUGUUUUAGACUUUAAAUUUAAGUUUAUAUAUACUACUUCCACCUAUGAAUUCCUUUGUUUUGUUGUCGAAGAUUUAGGAAUAUUUACAAAACCCAAACCUUCUGAGAACU
rnacentral:lncRNA from 1 species